GACGAACGCUGGCGGCGUGCUUAACACAUGCAAGUCGAACGGAAAGGCCUGCUUUCCCUUGUGGAUUGCGGGUACUCGAGUGGCGAACGGGUGAGUAACACGUGAGUGAUCUGCCCCCAACUUGGGUAUAAGCCUGGGAAACUGGGUCUAAUUCCCGAUAGGACUGCAGGGUGGUGCCUGUGGUGGAAAACGAUUUUCUAGUGGUUGGGGAUGAGCUCGCGGCCUAUCAGCUUGUUGGUGGGGUAAUGGCCUACCAAGGCGGCGACGGGUAGCCGGCCUGAGAGGGUGGACGGCCACAUUGGGACUGGGAUACGGCCCAGACUCCUACGGGAGGCAGCAGUGGGGAAUAUUGCACAAUGGGCGGAAGCCUGAUGCAGCGACGCCGCGUGGGGGAUGACGGCCUUCGAGUUGUAAACUCCUUUCGACCGCGAGGAAGCCACCUGGUUGGAAGGGUGGUGACGGUAGUGAUAGAAGAAGCACCGGCUAACUACGUG
rnacentral:rRNA from 1 species